rnacentral:rRNA from 1 species
AUGUCUUAUUGCGUUUUCUGCGGGAUCAUCUCAAGGGAGACGGAGGCGGAGGCGGAAGAGUCCUUUUCCUUCUGCAAUCGGGGCAGAAAAGAGAUUGAUUUCGAGGAGUGGGAGGAGUCGCCCAUCAAAGAAGCAACAUCAAUCACAUCUCUGAAAGGCCAGUUCUUUUGCUUUAGCGGAUCAGCCAUGAAGAACAAGAAGGGUCGCCGCGGCCGCAACAAAGCAACUUGCAACGAAGACGCUGCUUGCAAAGCAAACGGAGACAGGCUUAGCAGGCUGCCCAAUGAUCUUCUGCUCAAUAUCCUGGAGAGGGUGGAGACGUUUGACGCCCUCAGAGCCUGCAUCCUCUCGAAGCGAAUGCUGCAGCUCCCCGCCAUGCUCUCGCAGAUUGUUAUCGAUGUUGGUUCCCUCGUCCCUGACCCUGAUAGCUCCCGUGAAUUUGGCAUCCGUGAUGUGGCUAGGGUCAAUGGCGCUGUCGCUAAGAUAACUGAUAACAUCUUGUGGAUGAGGAGCCCAGGAAUCACCAUCCGCAAGCUUAAUGUCAGAAUGGUCUUGAGGCAUUAUGACGUUCUCUCUGUUGGCAAAUCUUUUGCCCACGCCAUGGCAACCCAGAAGGUCCAGAAAGCUGAAAUUGAGUUCAUGACGGAGAAGGCUUGCGCGGAUUGCACACCUGCCGAUCUCGUCGACUUUGCCAAGUGCUUCAAUACUAUCCUUGCUGAUUGUCUGGAUGCAUUCGCUGGCCUUACGCGCCUAUGGCUGCAAAAUAUGCGAUUUGGUGAAGGCGACAUCCCCAAUGUCCUGACCACUUGCAAGCGGUUGAAAUCUUUGCGAUUGUCCUACUGUGACUCAGGGAUCCGUUCUGUGCUGUGUUUAGAACAUGCUCAACUCGUUGACCUCGAGAUCGACUAUGGGAAGUUCGAGAAAGUUGUGCUCAACUGGCUACCGGAACUCCAACAAGUGACUUAUAAUAACUGGUGCUCUUACGACGAUGAGCCCCUGUCUUUUGGUUUCGUUCCGCAGCUUUCAAAGCUAAGCCUCGCGAAAAUUGCUGUCUGCUCAGACAGGUGUCUAGAGUUGAGCCAGCUCCUUGCUAAUUUCCUCUCCAUAAGCGAACUGCAUCUGAAUUUUCGAAGUGAAAAGAUUUGGGUUCUACCAGAAUGUCCGAAACUGCUCACGCCUGUUCUUGGCAAACUGCGGCUUGUGAAUCUGGAAAACCUUCCUGAAGGAUGUGAUAUUGCUUGGACAAUGUUCAUUCUUGAAGCUGCACCGGUCCUGAAGGAGCUAUGCAUCACAGUAUGGGAUCAUUGGUGCAUCAUGGUGACAGACAAGGAGCACCGGAAGGCGAGUGGUUACUGCGACAACAGAAACGUAGAGUGGAAGCCAUCUGUUUCCAUUUUGAAGCAUAAGAAUCUUGCCAAGCUCACCAUCUAUGGCUUCCAAGCCGAUGAUAACUUCAUUCGAUACGUCAGGCGUGUCAUGGUAGCUGCGGUGAACAUGGAGGAGAUAUCUCUUCAUGACAGGAUGGUGUGGAAGUGCUGUAGUGACUCGGAUCCCAAGACAAGGUAUCCACGGACUGAUGAGGAGAGGCAACAUGUUAUAGAGGAACUGGGAAUGGAUCUUCAUUCCGUGGUUCACUUCCGGUCCUAA